GAAAUGCGAUAAGUAAUGUGAAUUGCAGAAUUCAGUGAAUCAUCGAAUCUUUGAACGCACAUUGCGCCCGCCAGUAUUCUGGCGGGCAUGCCUGUUCGAGCGUCAUUUCAACCAUCAAGCCCCCGGGCUUGUGUUGGGGACCUGCGGCUGCCGCAGGCCCCGAAAACCAGUGGCGGGCUCGCUGUCACCCCGAGCGUAGUAGUUUACACCUCGCCCAGGGCGUGCCGCGGGUUUCCCGGCCGUUAAACCCCCCAUACCACAAGGUUGACCUCGGAUCAGGUAGGAAGACCCGCUGAACUUAA
rnacentral:misc_RNA from 1 species